AUUCCUGGNGUAGCGGUGGAAUGCGCAGAUAUCAGGAGGAACACCGAUGGCGAAGGCAGGUCUNUGGGCUGUAGCUGACGCUGAGAAGCGAAAGCAUGGGGAGCGAACAGGAUUAGAUACCCUGGUAGUCCAUGCCGUAAACGUUGGNCACUAGGUGUGGGGGACAUUCCACGUUUUCCGCGCCGUAGCUAACGCAUUAAGUGCCCCGCCUGGGGAGUACGGCCGCAAGGCUAAUACUCAAAGAAAUUGACGGGGGCCCGCACAAGCGGCGGAGCAUGCGGAUUAAUUCGAUGCAACGCGAAGAACCUUACCAAGGCUUGACAUAUACUGGACUGCGUCAGAGAUGGCGUUUCCCUUCGGGGCUGGUAUACAGGUGGUGCAUGGUUGUCGUCAGCUCGUGUCGUGAGAUGUUGGGUUAAGUCCCGCAACGAGCGCAACCCUCGUUCUAUGUUGCCAGCACGUGAUGGUGGGGACUCAUAGGAGACUGCCGGGGUUAACUCGGAGGAAGGUGGGGAUGACGUCAAAUCAUCAUGCCCCUUAUGUCUUGGGCUUCACGCAUGCUACAAUGGCCGGUACAGAGGGUUGCGAUACUGUGAGGUGGAGCUAAUCCCUAAAAGCCGGUCUCAGUUCGGAUUGGGGUCUGCAACUCGACCCCAUGAAGUCGGAGUCGCUAGUAAUCGCAGAUCAGCAACGCUGCGGUGAAUACGUUCCCGGGCCUCGUACACACCGCCCGUCAAGUCACGAAAGUUGGUAACAC
rnacentral:rRNA from 1 species